rnacentral:piRNA from 1 species
UGUGUGGCUCCAAACAGCAAAGCAGCAGGU